rnacentral:rRNA from 1 species
AUUGAACGCUAGCGGGAUGCUUUACACAUGCAAGUCGAACGAGUGGCGGACGGGUGAGUAAUAUAUCGGAACCUGCCCAGUAGCGGGGGAUAACUACUCGAAAGAGUGGCUAAUACCGCAUACCAUUGGAGCGGCCGAUAUCGGAUUAGCUAGUUGGUGGGGUAAAGGCUAACCAAGGCAACGAUACGUAUCUGGUUUUAGAGGACCACCAGCCACACUGGAACUGAGACACGGCCCAGACUCCAACGGAAGGCAGCAUUGGGAAAUGUUGGACUAUGGGGGAAACCAUAAUCCAGCCAUCCCGCGUGUAUGAGAAGGCCUUCGGGUUGUAAAGUACUGUUAGCAGAGAAGCGGUAACUGCAGAAUAAGCACCGGCUAACUACGUGCCAGCCGCCGCGGUAAUAC